rnacentral:rRNA from 1 species
GUUGUAAUCUGGAGAAGCAUUUUCCGCGUCGGACCGUGUACAAGUUUCUUGGAAUAGAACGUCAUAGAGGGUGAGAAUCCCGUCCAUGACACGGACUACCGAUGCUUUGUGAUAUGCUCUCGAAGAGUCGAGUUGUUUGGGAAUGCAGCUCAAAAUGGGUGGUAAAUUCCAUCUAAAGCUAAAUAUUGGCGAGAGACCGAUAGCGAACAAGUACCGUGAGGGAAAGAUGAAAAGCACUUUGGAAAGAGAGUUAAACAGUACGUGAAAUUGUUGAAAGGGAAACGCUUGAAGUCAGUCGCGUUGGCAGAGACUCAGCCUUGCUUUGCAUGGUGUACUUCUCAGUUAACGGGUCAACAUCAAUUUCAGUUGGUGGAUAAAGGCAUUGGGAAUGUGGCACCUUCGGGUGUGUUAUAGACCUUUGUUGCAUACACUGACCGGGAUUGAGGAACGCAGCACGCCACUAAGGCCAGGGAUUCGUCCCAUGUAACGUGCUUAGGAUGUUGGCAUAAUGGCUUUAAGCGACCCGUCUUGAAACACGGACCAAGGAGUCUAACAUGCCUGCGAGUAUUAGGGUGGAAAACCCUUGUGCGUAAUUAACGUGAAAGUUGGGACCUCUUGCGAGGGCACCGACG